rnacentral:rRNA from 1 species
UGGGGAAUUUUUGACAAUGGGGGAAACCCUGAUCCAGCCAUCCCGCGUGUGCGAUGAAGGCCUCCGGGUUGUAAAGCACUCUUUGCAGGAAAGAAACGUCAUGGGUUAAUACCCCGUGAAACUGACGGUACCUGCAGAAUAAGCACCGGCUAACUACGUGCCAGCAGCCGCGGUAAUACGUAGGGUGCAAGCGUUAAUCGGAAUUACUGGGCGUAAAGCGUGCGCAGGCGGUUCGGAAAGAAAGAUGUGAAAUCCCAGAGCUCAACUUUGGAACUGCAUUUUUAACUACCGUGCUAGCGUGUGUCAGAGGGGGGUGGAAUUCCGCGUGUAGCAGUGAAAUGCGUAAAUAUGCGGAGGAACACCGAUGGCGAAUGCAGCCACCUGGGAUAAAACUAGCGCUCAUGCACGAAAGCGUGGGGAGCAAACAGG